UCUAGUCAAUAGCAUCUCUGCCUACAAAGCCAAUGAGAGUUGAAUGUGUGAGGCUUUCUGGAAGGAGGGAUGAUUGUGAUGGAUUUGAGAAGCAUGCUUAAUUGUUUUUACUUGUUUGCUCCAGCGAGUGUAUCUGCAUCUAAACCUGGUACUGUAGACAAGGCCCAUCUAAGGCUUGCUUCAACAAAAGCUGUCUUGCGCCUGUCAAAGUACUGGGAUCAAAAAAUGCUGAUUGAUGUCUAUUAUUCAACUUUAAGAUUAUCACAGGUUGGAUCUUUUCUUUCAUGAGAAAGUUUGUUCGAAAUGGCUGUUUACUAAGCAUUGUAUUCAUCUUCUUAGAAUGAAGAUAAAAUGUGUUGAUUGUUUCGUUGCCUUUUGUAGUCUAAAAGCAGAUGUUGUUUGCUUAUCCAGAGAUUUUAGUAUGUUUCACACUAGUAGCAGUUGAUUUUAUCUUGGCAUGCAGGAUGUCUACCCACAAGCUAGGAAGCUAUUCCUUAGAAAAGUACAAGCCGAUAUCCAAUUAUGUUUAAAUCUAUGUUUAUAUUUCUCAGUUCUAUGUAUGCAACUUGGGAAAAUUGUGCAGACAUAGGUGUUGGGUGUUACAUAUUGAUUGAAGUGUCUGAGCCCAAUUUUCAAUGGCCAUUAUAUAUGGCAAAAUACAAGGGCCACAAAUGAUUUCAAUAUUUUAAAGAAGUUGCUUUUGAACAAGAAAUGGAUUCCAGAGUCGAGAGAGCAUCUUUGUGUGUUGGAAUGAUUUUUGCAUCUGUAAUGCUUCUUAGCUCCUUCAGUAUAGCUUUUUACCCAUAAAAAAUGAAUGAACAUAAAAUUACAAAUUUGCAAAUAUAGUUGUGCUUUUGGUAUAAAAGACAUUGUAUUGGUUCCUUUUCCAUAUGAUAUUCUAGAAUAUACUUAACAGUAAUAGGUGGGAAGGGUGGGUGUAUAAUGUGGCUCCCAUCUGAUGUUGCUGCUUUAUUUUUCAGCUGAGCAAUUACUCUUCACUGGAAGGUGUUCUGUACUGCAAGCCUCAUUCUGAACAGCUUUUCAAUGAAAUUGGCAGUUUUAACAAGAGCUUCUAGUCACGUAAGGCUUCUCUCUUGAGUUGUAUCAGAUUCUCUUUGAUUUCUAUCUGCUUAAUUGCACGAUGUGUUUUCGCUUUUUAGCAGCUGCAAAGUCGGCAGAGAAGUUUAUCCCGGAACUGACAAGAUCACCUAGCAAGGUUGCUGGCAUGUUUUUGGUUUCCUUAGUUCCCCCUUUUGCAAAUGAGGGAAACCUUCACAUUUGAGGAAACCGAUUUCCUUUUUUAAAGAUUUUUAUUUUCUCAAUCUUAUCUUUUGCAAAUGAGAGAACUGUGACUCGGUUACUUUUUUAUUUUCUCAAUCUCAUCUCCGUGUGAAUUAUUUUUUGAAUGAC